GUAAAGCCAAGCAUCACUAGUCUAUGCUACUACAUCAGAGUAACUGAUAAGUGGGAACAAUUGUAUUCCAACAAAAAAUGAAAUGGAUGAAUCAAGAGAGAUUGUAUUACCAGAUUUAGGGGUGAUCCAAGCGCAUCUUUUACGACCGUCACAGAAGCAAUCACUAGCCUUCUCAUCUCUCUCCUCCGUCAGAUUUCUUCUCAGUGAAGAGGAAGAAGAAACUGACCCACUUCGCCGCAAAACCCUCUUUCCACUCGAAGUAGACGUCAUACUUAACGGCGACGACUCGCAAGAAGACGACGCAUCUGAAGAAUACGAAGCAGUCAUCGAAAUACCAUUACGUCUCAGAAUUGGAGGGCUUAGAGGCGAGCAUUGCGGCAUUUUCUCCGUAAAGGUUAGGUUUUUGGUUUUCUCAGCCACAGGCUUCUUCACCGGCUUUGACAACGGUUUCUGCUGCAGCUUAUUGCCGGCGGGACCAAGAACUGAUCUGAAUUCUCGGUCGGAUGAAUCCACAGACCGAACUCGCGGUGGAGCCGACAUUGACCUAAAAGUCUCCGAAUAUCGAAAAUGCCUUACUUCACUUAAAAACACACUGGAUCACGACGACUAAUGAAUUGCAAUUCCCCAAAAGAAAAAAUCUCAAACCAAUUCCAAAAGAUUUACACCAAUUUCGAUAAACCCUAGAAAGAAAGGACCUGCAUUUACAAACUUAAA